UGCCGCCAGGGAUCUUGCAGCAUUUUUUAAAAAAUUAUAAAGCUCACGAAAGCUAAGCCAGACAGCCUGGAGUGUACAGUGACAGACGAAAGAGACACCAGCUCCACACGGCAGAGGGAAGGAACCACUUCCAGAGUUGUCCCCUGAUCUCCACAUGUGUGCCAUGGCACACACAUGCCAUCCUACACACAUGCACACACAGAGGGUUUCCUGGUAUAACAGCCCCAGCUAGACCUCUCUUUGUAGACCAGGCUGGCCUCGAACUCAGAGAUCUACCUGCCUUUGCUUCCCAGUGCUGGGACUAAAGGCAUGCACCACCACCGCCCGGCUCCUGCUGCAUUUCUAAUCACAUAAUGCACUUUUGUCAAAUGGA